rnacentral:rRNA from 1 species
GUAGGGUGCAAGCGUUGUCCGGAAUUACUGGGCGUAAAGAGUUCGUAGGCGGUUUGUCGCGUCGUUUGUGAAAACCAGCAGCUCAACUGCUGGCUUGCAGGCGAUACGGGCAGACUUGAGUACUGCAGGGGAGACUGGAAUUCCUGGUGUAGCGGUGAAAUGCGCAGAUAUCAGGAGGAACACCGGUGGCGAAGGCGGGUCUCUGGGCAGUAACUGACGCUGAGGAACGAAAGCGUGGGUAGCGAACAGGAUUAGAUACCCUGGUAGUCCACGCCGUAAACGAUGACUACUAGGUGUCGGGUGGCAAAGCCAUUCGGUGCCGCAGCAAACGCAAUAAGUAGUCCACCUGGGGAGU